rnacentral:rRNA from 1 species
UACGGAGGGUGCGAGCGUUGUCCGGAAUCACUGGGCGUAAAGGGCGCGUAGGUGGCGCGGGAAGUCAACGGUGAAAGUUCGGGGCUCAACCCUGAAUCGGCCGUCGAUACUCCCGGGCUCGAGCACUGUAGAGGCAGAUGGAAUUCCGGGUGUAGCGGUGGAAUGCGUAGAGAUCCGGAAGAGCACCGGUGGCGAAGGCGGCCUGCUGGGCAGUUGCUGACACUGAGGCGCGACAGCGUGGGGAGCAAACAGG